rnacentral:rRNA from 1 species
AGAGUUUGAUCCUGGCUCAGGACGAACGCUGGCGGCGUGCCUAAUACAUGCAAGUAGAACGCUGAAGAGAGGAGCUUGCUCUUCUUGGAUGAGUUGCGAACGGGUGAGUAACGCGUAGGUAACCUGCCUUGUAGCGGGGGAUAACUAUUGGAAACGAUAGCUAAUACCGCAUAACAAUGGAUGACACAUGUCAUUUAUUUGAAAGGGGCAAUUGCUCCACUACAAGAUGGACCUGCGUUGUAUUAGCUAGUAGGUGAGGUAACGGCUCACCUAGGCGACGAUACAUAGCCGACCUGAGAGGGUGAUCGGCCACACUGGGACUGAGACACGGCCCAGACUCCUACGGGAGGCAGCAGUAGGGAAUCUUCGGCAAUGGGGGCAACCCUGACCGAGCAACGCCGCGUGAGUGAAGAAGGUUUUCGGAUCGUAAAGCUCUGUUGUAAGCCAAGAACGAGUGUGAGAGUGGAAAGUUCACACUGUGACGGUAGCUUACCAGAAAGGGACGGCUAACUACGUGCCAGCAGCCGCGGUAAUACGUAGGUCCCGAGCGUUGUCCGGAUUUAUUGGGCGUAAAGCGAGCGCAGGCGGUUUGAUAAGUCUGAAGUUAAAGGCUGUGGCUCAACCAUAGUUCGCUUUGGAAACUGUCAAACUUGAGUGCAGAAGGGGAGAGUGGAAUUCCAUGUGUAGCGGUGAAAUGCGUAGAUAUAUGGAGGAACACCGGUGGCGAAAGCGGCUCUCUGGUCUGUAACUGACGCUGAGGCUCGAAAGCGUGGGGAGCGAACAGGAUUAGAUACCCUGGUAGUCCACGCCGUAAACGAUGAGUGCUAGGUGUUGGAUCCUUUCCGGGAUUCAGUGCCGCAGCUAACGCAUUAAGCACUCCGCCUGGGGAGUACGACCGCAAGGUUGAAACUCAAAGGAAUUGACGGGGGCCCGCACAAGCGGUGGAGCAUGCGGUUUAAUUCGAAGCAACGCGAAGAACCUUACCAGGUCUUGACAUCCCGAUGCUAUUUCUAGAGAUAGAAAGUUACUUCGGUACAUCGGUGACAGGUGGUGCAUGGUUGUCGUCAGCUCGUGUCGUGAGAUGUUGGGUUAAGUCCCGCAACGAGCGCAACCCCUAUUGUUAGUUGCCAUCAUUCAGUUGGGCACUCUAGCGAGACUGCCGGUAAUAAACCGGAGGAAGGUGGGGAUGACGUCAAAUCAUCAUGCCCCUUAUGACCUGGGCUACACACGUGCUACAAUGGUUGGUACAACGAGUUGCGAGUCGGUGACGGCAAGCUAAUCUCUUAAAGCCAAUCUCAGUUCGGAUUGUAGGCUGCAACUCGCCUACAUGAAGUCGGAAUCGCUAGUAAUCGCGGAUCAGCACGCCGCGGUGAAUACGUUCCCGGGCCUUGCACACACCGCCCGUCAA